rnacentral:tRNA from 1 species
GGGCUAUUAGCUCAGGUGGUUAGAGCGUACCCCUGAUAAGGGUAAGGCCACUGGUUCAAGUCCAGUAUAGCCCA